UCACACCAACUGUUGGUAUUAGACGAAAGAAGAAGAAGAGUGGGUUGAUUGUUGGUAUUGCUGUAGCUCUUGGAAGUUUGGGUUUGAUACUGAUAUUUUUAAUUCUUCACUUGAGGAUAAAAAGAGAUAAUGAUGAUGCAGAAGUUAUGCUGAGUUGAGGUCUGCAACACAAGACUUCGACCGUCCAAAUAAGCUUGGCCAGGGAGGAUUUGGACCUUUGUAAUAGGAAGAAGGGAGAGGCAUCUUGAUUGGCCUACCUGGUUCAAAAUAUGCUUGAGAACUGCAAGAGGUCUAGCAUAUCUUCAUGAGGAUUCUAGGCCAAAGAUC